GGGCCCGUAGCUCAGCCAGGAUAGAGCAUCGGCCUUCGGAGCCGGAGGUCCGGGGUUCAAAUCCCCGCGGGCCCGCCA
rnacentral:tRNA from 1 species